rnacentral:rRNA from 1 species
AUUGAACGCUGGCGGCAGGCCUAACACAUGCAAGUCGAACGGUAGCACAGAGAGCUUGCUCUCGGGUGACGAGUGGCGGACGGGUGAGUAACGUCUGGGAAACUGCCCGAUGGAGGGGGAUAACUACUGGAAACGGUAGCUAAUACCGCAUAACGUCGCAAGACCAAAGUGGGGGACCUUCGGGCCUCACACCAUCGGAUGUGCCCAGAUGGGAUUAGCUAGUAGGUGGGGUAAUGGCUCACCUAGGCGACGAUCCCUAGCUGGUCUGAGAGGAUGACCAGCCAAACUGGAACUGAGACACGGUCCAGACUCCUACGGGAGGCAGCAGUGGGGAAUAUUGCACAAUGGGCGCAAGCCUGAUGCAGCCAUGCCGCGUGUAUGAAGAAGGCCUUCGGGUUGUAAAGUACUUUCAGCGGGGAGGAAGGCGGUGAAGUUAAUAGCUUCACCGAUUGACGUUACCCGCAGAAGAAGCACCGGUUAACUCCGUGCCAGCCGCCGCGGUAA